rnacentral:rRNA from 1 species
GACGAACGCUGGCGGCGUGCUUAACACAUGCAAGUCGAACGGACAGGCCCUGCUUUUGUGGUUUGCUCGAGUGGCGCACGGGUGAGUAACAUGUGAGUAACCUGCCCUUGACUUUGUGAUAACUUCAGGAAACUGGGGCUAAUACCGGAUAUGAGCUCCUGCUCCAUUGUGGGGGUUGGAAAGUUUCGGCGGUUGGGGAUGGUCUCGCGGCUUCUCAGCUUCUUGGUGGGGUAGUGGCUUACCAAGGCUUUGACGGGUAGCCGGCCUGAGAGGGUGACCGGCCACAUGGGGACUGAGAUACGGCCCAGACUGCUACGGGAGGCAGAAGGGGGGAAUAUUGCACAAUGGGCGGAAGCCUGAUGCAGCAACGCCGCGUGCGGGAUGAAGGCCUUCGGGUUGUAAACCGCUUUCGCCUGUGACGAAGCGUGAGUGACGGUAAUGGGUAAAGAAGCACCGGCUAACUACGUG